ACUGCCACCUGAUGUCGUAGGAAGUGAGCGACAUGACCCUCUGAGUCCACUUCAGAGUGCUCUGGGUAUCUACAAAUGGUCCACUGGCUGGCAGAAGAGACAUGAACCAUUUAUACAGGAGAGGUAAGCAGCAUCUGAUGGCUCCACCCUUACCAUGCCUACUGUGGAUGGCAUAGUAAGUAUCAGCAAGGAGGGUAGGGACUGGAUUCCCCCUGAUAAAGAUGCUGAUGGCAGCAUGGUCUAUGAAAUUCGGCAUACUGGGAAAUAGGAUGAUCCCAUAGAUCAUGGCAGCUAGCUGUGCGUGAAAAACUUCCCAAUUCCCCUU
rnacentral:lncRNA from 1 species